CGAUUCGAAAAAUGCCAAAAAAUUCUCAACGCCCCUUGGAAAUGUAAAAAAGGAAAGCCACUUUUCUCUAAUCCGGAACCUCCCAGCAAGAUUUUUGACUGCAUAGAAGAGAAAUUUCCAGCAGUUGAAGGAGAAGAUCAGAAAAAGAUGAUGGAUUUUGAAGUUAGUAAAAAUUUAAAAAAAACAAAACAACAACUAUAAUUUUCAAUUUGAAAAUAAUCUCUUGUCAAUAUUCCGAAGAUGCAGAUAAUCGGUUAACCUCCCUUUGUUUAUUUAAUGUAAAGACACACCUAGACAGAAACGAUUUUAUGCAAAUAUGUAGAGGAAAAUUUAUAUUUAAUGAUUUAAGAAUCAACUUUUAUUUAUUUUACAUAAAAUCGCAUUUAAAUAUAUCAUGACCUAACAUUAGACUGAGGGCGGAUAUCGCGAAGAAUUUUGUCACAUUUCCUAUAUAAUCAGGACGCUAUACCGCAGGAGAAAUUUUCAUUUCCCUCCAUUAGUAUUCUAUAAAUUAAAGUUUAGACACAAGAAAAUUCAGAUAAACCUAGACUAAACCAUAUAUAAUCAAACAAAUGCUGAAAUUGCUUUUUAAAUUUUGCAAAAUGCAAGCUAACUAUGGCGGGAUUACACAGAGGGGAAAUAAUUUUGCAAUAAUGUGCUAAUAUUUUGAUCUUUUACAAAUAUUUUUUCA